GACGAACGCUGGCGGCGUGCUUAACACAUGCAAGUCGAACGGAAAGGCCCUGCUUUUGUGGGGUGCUCGAGUGGCGAACGGGUGAGUAACACGUGAGUAACCUGCCCUUGACUUUGGGAUAACUUCAGGAAACUGGGGCUAAUACCGGAUAGGAGCUCCUGCUGCAUGGUGGGGGUUGGAAAGUUUCGGCGGUUGGGGAUGGACUCGCGGCUUAUCAGCUUGUUGGUGGGGUAGUGGCUUACCAAGGCUUUGACGGGUAGCCGGCCUGAGAGGGUGACCGGCCACAUUGGGACUGAGAUACGGCCCAGACUCCUACGGGAGGCAGCAGUGGGGAAUAUUGCACAAUGGGCGGAAGCCUGAUGCAGCAACGCCGCGUGCGGGAUGACGGCCUUCGGGUUGUAAACCGCUUUCGCCUGUGACGAAGCGUGAGUGACGGUAAUGGGUAAAGAAGCACCGGCUAACUACGUGCCAGCAGCCGCGGUGAUACGUAGGGUGCGAGCGUUGUCCGGAUUUAUUGGGCGUAAAGGGCUCGUAGGUGGUUGAUCGCGUCGGAAGUGUAAUCUUGGGGCUUAACCCUGAGCGUGCUUUCGAUACGGGUUGACUUGAGGAAGGUAGGGGAGAAUGGAAUUCCUGGUGGAGCGGUGGAAUGCGCAGAUAUCAGGAGGAACACCAGUGGCGAAGGCGGUUCUCUGGGCCUUUCCUGACGCUGAGGAGCGAAAGCGUGGGGAGCGAACAGGCUUAGAUACCCUGGUAGUCCACGCUGUAAACGGUGGGUACUAGGUGUGGGGUCCAUUCCACGGGUUCCGUGCCGUAGCUAACGCUUUAAGUACCCCGCCUGGGGAGUACGGCCGCAAGGCUAAAACUCAAAGGAAUUGACGGGGCCCCGCACAAGCGGCGGAGCAUGCGGAUUAAUUCGAUGCAACGCGUAGAACCUUACCUGGGUUUGACAUGGAUCGGGAGUGCUCAGAGAUGGGUGUGCCUCUUUUGGGGUCGGUUCACAGGUGGUGCAUGCCUGUCGUCAGCUCGUGUCGUGAGAUGUUGGGUUAAGUCCCGCAACGGGCGCAACCCUUGUUCACUGUUGCCAGCACGUUAUGGUGGGGACUCAGUGGAGACCGCCGGGGUCAACUCGGAGGAAGGUGGGGAUGACGUCAAGUCCUCAUGCCCCUUAUGUCCAGGGCUUCACGCAUGCUACAAUGGCUGGUACAGAGAGUGGCGAGCCUGUGAGGGUGAGCGAAUCUCGGAAAGCCGGUCUCAGUUCGGAUUGGGGUCUGCAACUCGACCUCAUGAAGUCGGAGUCGCUAGUAAUCGCAGAUCAGCAACGCUGCGGUGAAUACGUUCCCGGG
rnacentral:rRNA from 1 species